CAGUAGCCACGGGAAUACGGAGGGUGCAAGCGUUGUUCGGAAUUACUGGGCGUAAAGCGCGCGUAGGCGGCUUUUUAAGUCAGAGGUGAAAGCCCGGGGCUCAACCCCGGAAUUGCCUUUAAGACUGCCGAGCUAGCAGGUGAGAGAGGUAAGUGGAAUUCCGAGUGUAGAGGUGAAAUUCGUAGAUAUUCGGAAGAACACCAGUGGCGAAGGCGGCUUACUGGCUCAUACUGGACGCUGAGGUGCGAAAGCGUGGGGAGCAAACAGGAUUAGAUACCCGCGUAGUCCCUGUCUCUUAUAC
rnacentral:rRNA from 1 species